GGGUUGUGAGGUUAAGUGACUAAGCGUACACGGUGGAUGCCUAGGCAGUCAGAGGCGAUGAAGGGCGUGCU
rnacentral:rRNA from 1 species